rnacentral:rRNA from 1 species
CACUAACUGGAGGACCGAACCGACUAAUGUUGAAAAAUUAGCGGAUGACUUGUGGCUGGGGGUGAAAGGCCAAUCAAACCGGGAGAUAGCUGGUUCUCCCCGAAAGCUAUUUAGGUAGCGCCUCGGACGAACACCUACGGGGGUAGAGCACUGUUAAGGCUAGGGGGUCAUCCCGACUUACCAACCCUUUGCAAACUCCGAAUACCGUAGAGUGCUAUCCGGGAGACACACGGCGGGUGCUAACGUCCGUCGUGAAGAGGGAAACAACCCAGACCGCCAGCUAAGGUCCCAAAGUCAUGGUUAAGUGGGAAACGAUGUGGGAAGGCUUAGACAGCUAGGAUGUUGGCUUAGAAGCAGCCAUCAUUUAAAGAAAGCGUAAUAGCUCACUAGUCGAGUCGGCCUGCGCGGAAGAUGUAACGGGGCUAAACCAUGCACCGAAGCUGCGGCAAUGACGCUUAGGCGUUAUUGGGUAGGGGAGCGUUCUGUAAGCGGUUGAAGGUGUACUGUGAGGUAUGCUGGACGUAUCAGAAGUGCGAAUGCUGACAUAAGUAACGAUAAAGCGGGUGAAAAGCCCGCUCGCCGGAA